GCAGCACCCCGGGGCGUGCGCCCGUUCCGCUGCCAGGGCCCCGGGGGGUUGACCCCGGCUGGAGCUGCAGGAAGAGAAGGGCGAGGACACGGGACAUUUCCCCAGCGCUGGGAGUAGCUGCUCUGGUGGUUUGUUAGAGGGAAGGCAUGGAUGAAGAUGCCAUCAUCGACAUCUUGACCAAACUCAAAGUUUGCCAACGUCAGCGAGUUCUGAUCACCUAUAAGACACUCCUGGCAGGAGCUCCCCAGCAGAGACACUUUUUCUUUGCUCCAGCCUUCAUGGAUAAACACUAGACAGAAGAGAUCUGUGCAGACACAGCAGCAGUCUGUGUGCAGAGGGGUGCUGCUCAUCUCGUUUCUCUUCCCAUCUACGUCUCAUCCCACUCAGUGCAUUUUGAAGUGCUGAAUCUCUUUCCAUCUCCUGAGUCGUGCUUCCCAUGGUCAGCAAAGGGCCGCUACUGCAAUGGAGUCAUCCAAACUCAGGGGAAUAAUAGAUGUCCAUUUAUUGAGAGCUUUCUUAACAGCCAGCAACAACCAGUUGGUGUUAACACCGACCAAUGGGCUGAUUGCAAGGAAUAAUGUUAGAUGUAACAAUUGUAGGCAAUGGCUGUGACAAAGAGCCAAAGAAUACCAGAUGACAAAAAGGCAGAAAAUGGGGAAAGAGGGACAGGCAGCAAAGCGCUCGUAGAUCCAGCCACGUCCUGGUGUCAGGCACGGAUCUCCAGUGUGAUGACCAUCUCCAGGUCGUCGGAGGAGGUGGUGUUCAGCUGACAACGAUUCACGACAACAGUAGAAACUCACUGAGAAGUCCAAAGCGGUGGCACUCAGCCGCCUGCCAGCACUGCCCCACAGCUGUGCCUGUGCACCCCAGGAGGCAGGAGAGGCCCUUUCCAUGGGGACAGAGCCCUCUCCCUGUGCCCCACCGCGCAGCCCCGAGCUGGGAGGGGCUACCGAGCACGGCGGUCAGAGGGGCAGCAGCCCAUCAUAGACCACAUGCAGGGUGCUGCUCGCAAAGUACGCCAGGGAAGUGUACGUUGCCCGGGGCAGCACUCAAGGCAGGAGCUGAUAGAAGAGCUCCUGAUCGAAGUGCUGGGCGUACAGCACUGCAGAGCCCAGCACAACAAGGAGCAGCUGGAGGCAGACCAGGAUGAGGCAGAUCGUCCUGUGGGGCAAAAGAGAAAGGGGGCCGGGAAUGAGGCACCCCCACCCCACGGCUGUCGACAGGUGGCUUGCUAGCCAAGAGGGCCAUGGGCCCCUCGAACAGCUGUACGAGCAGGACAGGGCAGGAGGCUCUCAAGAUGUACAGAUGGAAGAAUACUAGCGUGCCACCUGCGUGGACACCGUGUCCUUGAGCCCCAAAGUAAACGACCACAGAGGAACUUGGUUUGGAGAUAAGGAAGUAACCACGGGUGUGCCGCAGAGAUAGUUCCUAAGGCAUGAAAACGUGUGUAGCCCAUCACCUUUGUGAGUAAGGGGUAGUUACGGGGUUGUUAACUGAUCAGCUUGUGCCAAGUUUACUAAUAUGGUUAUAAAUAGAGUCACACUAUAACAAUAAAGUGGGGUUU